GAAUGACUCUCGGCAAUGGAUAUCUCGGCUCUUGCAUCGAUGAAGAGCGCAGCGAAAUGCGAUACGUGGUGCGAAUUGCAGAAUCCCGCGAACCAUCGAGUCUUUGAACGCAAGUUGCGCCUAAGGCCAGCCGGCCAAGGGCACGUUCGCCUGGGCGUCAAGCAUU
rnacentral:rRNA from 1 species